AGCAAAUCUGCUAACUCUUUUCCUCCUUGCACCAACGGAGACAUCUUAACUACAAUAAUUUUGGAAGCCCCCUAAGCUACAGAGACACAUGAAGUGAAACUGGCAGGAGCUCUCAACACAGCCUUGCAUUCUACAAUGAUUCUAGCAAUGGAUAAUAGUGAUUAGCUCUGAGCUAACAUCUGCUGCCAAUCCUCCUCUUUUUGCUGAGGAAGACUGGCCCUGAGCUGACAUCCAUGCCCAUUUUCCUCUCUUUUAUAUGUGG
rnacentral:lncRNA from 1 species